UGCCCCGUUCGGGGGAAAGAUUUAUCGCCAUUAGAGCCGGCCCGCGUCUGAUUAGCUUGUUGGUGAGGUAAAGGCUCACCAAGGCUACGAUCAGUAGCUGGUCUGAGAGGAUGAUCAGCCACAUUGGGACUGAGACACGGCCCAAACUCCUACGGGAGGCAGCAGUGGGGAAUCUUGCGCAAUGGGCGAAAGCCUGACGCAGCCAUGCCGCGUGAAUGAUGAAGGUCUUAGGAUUGUAAAAUUCUUUCACCGGGGACGAUAAUGACGGUACCCGGAGAAGAAGCCCCGGCUAACUUCGUG
rnacentral:rRNA from 1 species